AUUGAACGCUGGCGGCAGGCCUAACACAUGCAAGUCGAACGCGUGGCGGACGGGUGAGUAAUGUCUGGGAAACUGCCCUGUGGAGGGGGAUAACUACUGGACACGGUAUCUAAUACCGCAUACCCUCGGAUGUGCCCAUAUGGGAUUAGCUAGUAGGUGGGGUAACGGCUCACCUAGGCGACGCUCCCUCGCUGGUCUGAGAGGAUGACCAGCCACACUGGAACUGAGACAAGGUCCAGACUCCUACGGGAGGCAGCAGUGGGGAAUAUUGCACAAUGGGCGCAAGCCUGAUGCAGCCAUGCCGCGUGUAUGAAGAAGGCCUUCGGGUUGUAAAGUACUUUCAGCGAGGAGGCGUUACUCGCAGAAGAAGCACCGGCUAACUCCGUGCCAGCAGCCGCGGUAAUUC
rnacentral:rRNA from 1 species